rnacentral:tRNA from 1 species
GGCUUGUUGGACUAGGGGUAUGAUUCUCGCUUUGAAUGCGAGAGGUCCCAGGUUCAAAUCCUGGAAGAACCC